rnacentral:rRNA from 1 species
UACGUAGGGGGCAAACGUUGUCCGGAUUUAUUGGGCGUAAAGAGCGUGUAGGCGGCUUUGCAAGUCCGUUGUGAAAACUCGAGGCUCAACCUCGAGACGCCGGUGGAAACUGCAAAGCUAGAGUCCGGAAGAGGAGAGUGGAAUUCCUGGUGUAGCGGUGAAAUGCGCAGAUAUCAGGAAGAACACCCGUGGCGAAGGCGGCUCUCUGGGACGGUACUGACGCUGAGACGCGAAAGCGUGGGGAGCGAACAGG